CCGCUGAUGUCAGGGACUGGGCGGCCGCCCUAGGGGCCCGCCCGUUGCGCUGGGGGAAAAUGCUGGAGCGCAGGCCCCCGCGGGCCCACGGGGAAGCGAAAGGCAGAAACGGGGGCCUUUCGAGCCAGCCUGAGCCUGAGUGCAAGCUCUGUCCCUCAGAGCUCGGGACUAGGCGCUUUUGGGCGCAAAGCGAGUCGCCCACAGAACUCGCGCGCUGGAGGAGACCUGAGUCUGGGAGGGGAGAGAUUUGGAGAAACCGCAUCUCAGCUCCAUGAAGGCAGUGGUUUUUGUCUGUUCUCUGCUGUAUUCCCAGUGCCUGAAAUGUGGUUGGCAGGAAACUUUCGUUUUGGCCACACAUGUACGUGUGGGCACGCAGGCAUGUGUGUGCGUCUCUGUGUGUGCAUGCACUGGAUCUUUAUGCAAAGGAUGUAUGGGAACCACAGAAGGUUUUCCCACUUGGAGCUAUUAACUGCAGGACGGCGACCUUCACAUGGCCACAGCCUGUUGUAACAAACUGGUCAAUGCACGUACUCAACAUCCAGACCACAGGCCCUUGGUGGCCCUAAAGGGAGCAGUUAAGCAAAGGAAAGAACUAAAGCAUUGGGAUGGUGAGGAAAAAAAGAAGAGAAAAAAAUUCAGGAUGUGUAAUAUGUGGUUCAACCCAUGGGUAGAUGGCCGUUGUUCUAGAAGGGCCGGGCUGUCCCCGAGCAAUGCUAAGUGAACAUUCAGCAGCGUCUACAAGAUGACACACAUAUGCUGAAAGCUCCGAGAAGCCAGCGGCAUGGGGGUGCUGGUGACAUGUGAUUCCUAUGGAGAAAUGGCCCCAAUCCACAGAGGCUCCCUCUGGGCCUUCAUAAUGUAGGUGCCCAGGAAAAUCUCGCAUCAAGGAGUUGGCGUGUUGGCUGAGCUUUGGGGCUGGGAUCCAGCCCGGGCACUCUCUCAUCUUUUCCUCUCAACAUCGCUCCCGCUUCUGCAACCUGAAGCCUGUCUUCUGAUAUCCUCCUGGAUCCUACUGUUUCUCCAUGUGUUCUUUCCUGAGAACCUAUUUUCCAGCACAUCACAACAUCACUUACUGAGAAUUUCCACUUCUGCAACUCUGUGGCACGUGGCCUAAUGCCUUGCUCUGCCUGACCCUGCAGAAUCGCAGCAUUUCCCAAGUCAGCAGCUACUUCUUCCAAAGGAUUACUCUGGACUUACCCUGCCAGGGUGGAUUAUACCUGCAACAAGACUUAUUGACUUGUGAAUGCUUUGCGUAGGGGUUGUGCCUGAAACUGUUUUUAGGUAGCAAGAAUGUGCUUGAUUCAUGGAAAGACAUUUUCUAUUUGAGAAAAAAAUUAAAUCCCUUUUCUGCACUCCAGUAAAUAAAAGGACUCUACUAUUUAAAAACACUAGGAAAAACGAGCUCUUGGGAGAAAAAUAAUACUUUCAAGUCAUGGUGAAACAAAGGCACACAGAAGGCAAUGCUAUGAAGAUAAGAUACUCUUUUAAAAAAUUUUUCAGGGAAUAAGAUAUCCUAGAGAGGCUAAGUGAUAGGAAGUCUAUUAGUACUUUUCUUGAGGCAAAAAACAUUUUUAGAUCCUACACUCUCUUUAUACAUCUUUGGGGUAUUUAAAGAGAUGGCCUUAAACAGGCACUAAAAUGUCUACAGAACUCCUCUUUAAGUGUCCCCAGUGCUCUUUAAAGAAGGUCUGUUAUUGGCCAGGAGCCUAGUGCUGGGACUGCUGCUUGCAUGGUGAAGUGGGCGGGCAGGAGGUGUCUGAACUAUCCAUGAGCAGCCAUUGACAUGGGAACUCAAACAUCUUUGUAUGUGAGUAGACAGAGACAAUCACAUGUAAUGCAAAAUACUCACAUUCUAGGAACUAUUUGCCCUCUAUCCUAGAUAUUUCAGGACCAUCUCAUGUCCAAUUAUAUUUCUUCAUAUACUUUCACUCCCUUGGAAAUACUGUCUUUCCCCUGGAGAUGAUUGACUGAAUGAAUCUAGUCUACCAAGCUAAUAACUGAGCAAGCUGAGAUUUUCC